GCAAUACGUCAGUGGCAGACGGGUGAGUAACGCGUGGGAACGUACCUUUUGGUUCGGAACAACUGAGGGAAACUUCAGCUAAUACCGGAUAAGCCCUUACGGGGAAAGAUUUAUCGCCGAAAGAUCGGCCCGCGUCUGAUUAGCUAGUUGGUGAGGUAAUGGCUCACCAAGGCGACGAUCAGUAGCUGGUCUGAGAGGAUGAUCAGCCACAUUGGGACUGAGACACGGCCCAAACUCCUACGGGAGGCAGCAGUGGGGAAUAUUGGACAAUGGGGGAAACCCUGAUCCAGCCAUGCCGCGUGAGUGAUGAAGGCCCUAGGGUUGUAAAGCUCUUUUGUGCGGGAAGAUAAUGACGGUACCGCAAGAAUAAGCCCCGGCUAACUUCGUGCCAGCAGCCGCGGUAAUACGAAGGGGGCUAGCGUUGCUCGGAAUCACUGGGCGUAAAGGGUGCGUAGGCGGGUUUCUAAGUCAGAGGUGAAAGCCUGGAGCUCAACUCCAGAACUGCCUUUGAUACUGGAAGUCUUGAGUUCGGGAGAGGUGAGUGGAACUGCGAGUGUAGAGGUGAAAUUCGUAGAUAUUCGCAAGAAC
rnacentral:rRNA from 1 species